GUGUGGGGUCCUAUCCACGGAUUCCGUGCCGCAGCUAACGCAUUAAGCGCCCCGCCUGGGGAGUACGGCCGCAAGGCUAAAACUCAAAGGAAUUGACGGGGGCCCGCACAAGCGGCGGAGCAUGCGGAUUAAUUCGAUGCAACGCGAAGAACCUUACCAAGGCUUGACAUACGCCGGAAACACUCAGAGAUGGGUGCCCCGCAAGGUCGGUGUACAGGUGGUGCAUGGUUGUCGUCAGCUCGUGUCGUGAGAUGUUGGGUUAAGUCCCGCAACGAGCGCAACCCUCGUUCUAUGUUGCCAGCGGGUCAUGCCGGGGACUCAUAGGAGACUGCCGGGGUCAACUCGGAGGAAGGUGGGGAUGACGUCAAAUCAUCAUGCCCCUUAUGUCUUGGGCUUCACGCAUGCUACAAUGGCCGGUACAAAGGGCUGCGAAACCGUAAGGUGGAGCGAAUCCCAAAAAGCCGGUCUCAGUUCGGAUUGGGGUCUGCAACUCGACCCCAUGAAGUCGGAGUCGCUAGUAAUCGCAGAUCAGCAACGCUGCGGUGAAUACGUUCCCGGGCCUUGUACACACCGCCCGUCACGUCACGAAAGUCGGUAACACCCGAAGCCGGUGGCCCGACCCCUUGUGGGAGGGAGCCGUCGAAGGUGGGGCUG
rnacentral:rRNA from 1 species